GUGGGGAAUAUUGGACAAUGGGGGGAACCCUGAUCCAGCCAUGCCGCGUGUGUGAAGAAGGCCUUUUGGUUGUAAAGCACUUUAAGCGAGGAGGAGGCUACCGAGAUUAAUACUCUUGGAUAGUGGACGUUACUCGCAGAAUAAGCACCGGCUAACUCUGUGCCAGCAGCCGCGGUAAUACAGAGGGUGCAAGCGUUAAUCGGAUUUACUGGGCGUAAAGCGCGCGUAGGUGGCCAAUUAAGUCAAAUGUGAAAUCCCCGAGCUUAACGUGGGAAUUGCAUUCGAUACUGGUUGGCUAGAGUAUGGGAGAGGAUGGUAGAAUUCCAGGUGUAGCGGUGAAAUGCGUAGAGAUCUGGAGGAAUACCGAUGGCGAAGGCAGCCAUCUGGCCUAAUACUGACACUGAGGUGCGAAAGCAUGGGGAGCAAACAGGAUUAGAUACCCUGGUAGUCC
rnacentral:rRNA from 1 species